GAAAGUUUGCUCUUUUAGUAUUUGUCUAGAAUGGUCUUAAAAUGAUUUAAAGUCUCCA
ensembl:snRNA U7 U7 small nuclear RNA